AUAACAGAGCUAAGGCUUUUGUAGAACAGUCAAACCUUGAAGAACACGGGUUUGAACUGCGAGAGUCCACUUAUAUGAGGGUUUUUGAAAAUAAAAGUUACCCCGAGUGUGCCUGCCUCUCCUGCCUUCCCUUCCACGUCCUCCACCUCUUCUGCCUCUGCCACCCCUGAGACAGCAAGACCAACCCCCGGCUUCUCCUCCUCAGUCUACUCAACCUGACGAUCACAAGGAUGAAGACCUUUAUGACUCACCUUUAUGAUUCACUUCCAACAUAAUUCUGACUUCACCUGUACUCUCAGUGACUUUGUACAGAAAUCAGGAAGAUGCUUUGAAAGAAACACUGUGCAAUGAAAGUGCCACUGAUGUGUCUAGCAUUGACAUGCUUUUGGCUGCAAAGACUUGAGCCCACACGUUGCCUGAAACCUUCAGUCCUUUGAAGCUGUGAUUUCAAGACCCAGAUGUUGACAGCUGCUCAGAAUGCUUCUCAGGAAGAGGCUGGGACUUCCAAGACCCCAUUCCUGGGUUGGGUGAUGAGUGGUUCUGAUACUGUGAAAACUCACAAAAGACUAUGUAAUGAUACCAACCACGUGAGACUAUUUUGAGAAUUAAAUGAGUUAAUAUAUGCAAGAGACUUUGUGAGUGGGACAAACAGAACUCAGAGAGUGUCUGAUCUACCAUGGCUGGCUACAUAAUUUGGGGGCCCCAAUGAGAAAUGAAAAUGUAGGGUCUCUUGUUCAAAAAUUAUUAAGAAUUUCAAGACAGUGACAGCAGAACGUUAAAUCACACGUGAGGCUCCUGGGAUUGCACAGAUCGCAGGCCUUCAAAGCUGGUUAGUAAUGUGUGCGGCCUGGGGAGUCAGGGUUCAGGGGAGGGUUGUUAGGCCUGCCACCAAGAGGACGAGAAACUGAUCGGGGUAGCCAACCUCUGCCCUCUAGACCAGUGGUCCCCAACCGUUUUGGCACCAGGGACCAGUUUCGUGAAAGACAAUUUUUCCACAGACAGUGGGAGGGAUGGUUUUGGGAUGAAACUGUUCCAACUCAGAUCAUCAGGCAUUAAUUAGAUUUUCAUAAGGAGUACAACCUAGAUCCCUCACAUGCACAAUUCACAGUAGGGUUUGUGUUACUGUGAGAAUCUAAUGCCUCUGCGGCUCUGACAGGAGACUGAGCUCAGUAGCAAUGCUCACCUGCCUGCUGCUCACCUCCUGCUGUGCGGCCCAGGUCCUAAUAGGUUACCAGUCCUAACUGGUACCUAACAGGGUACAAAGUCCACAGCCUGGGGGUUGGGAACCCCUGCUCUAGACCAGCACUGAUGGUAGGUUUUAUACAUCAGUGGAGUUUCACGUAAAAGUUUGGGGAAAAAAAUGAUUCUUCUACCAGGAAAAAUUAAAAGGAAGAAAAAACAAAAAGGAAGAAACUGAUUUUAAUCCUUUUAUUUUAUACUUUAAAUAAUUGUUAAAAACCACACAAUAGUCGGGUGCAGUGGUGCACACCCGUAGUCCCAGCUACUCAGGAGACUGAGGUGGGAGGAUCGCUUGAGCCCAGGAGUUUGAUUCCAGCCUGGGCAACAUAGCAAGACCCCAUUCCUCCCCCCUCUGCCGACCAGGUUACACACUAAGAACAGUUUUUCAUUGUAAGAAUUCAAACAAUAUAAAAAUAUACAGACUUUAAAAAUGAGGAAACGCUUUACUUGCCUUAUAAUUCCACUUCUCACCCCAGAGGUAUCACUAUAUUGAUGUGCAUUCUUCCCAAGGACAUUUAUCCAUGUGUUGAUGCAUAUCUAUAUACAUAUAAUGUCUUUUAUAUAAUCCAAUACUUCUUUGUUAUUUCGUUUUUUUUGAGAUGGAGUUUCACUCUUGUUGCCCAGGCUGGAGUGCAAAGGUGCGAUCUCGGCUCACCGCAACCUCUGCCUCCCGGGUUCAAGUGAUUCUCCUGCCUCAGCCUCCCGAGUAGCUGGGAUUACAGGCAUGGGCCACCACGCCUGGCUAAUUCUGUAUUUUUAGUAGAAAUGGGGUUUCGCCAUGUUGGCCAGGCUGGUCUCAAACUCCCAACCUCAGGAUUUUGGGAUCCACCCACCUCGGCCUCCCGAAGUGCUGGGAUUGCAGGUGUGAGCCACUGAGGCUGGCCUCCAGUACUUCUUUGUAUGUAACAUUGCUGUGAUCAUGCUACAUGUUCUGUCCUAAAACUUUUUAUUUCUUAAUAUGUCAUGGAACAUUCCAUGUUAGUCUCAUACAUCUUCUUCAUUCUUUUUAAUUAUUGCAUAAUAUUUCACAACAUAAAUUAUCCUAAAGUAUAUAAGCCAUUGAUUCCUCCUAUUCCUGAAUAUGUCAUUUCUUUUCAAUUUUGGGGGGCUGUUAUUCUUACCACAUAUAAUGCUACAAUGAAUGUCCUUGUUUGUGCUUCUUUUUGCACAUACAAGACUUUGUUCUUUUGUUUUUGGGGAUAGAUACCUAUACGUAGAUUUGGUGGGGCAAGAGAAACUGAGAUGCAAAAAACCUACUCCACAGCAUGCAGGUUUUAAUGGUAAAGUUGAUCAAAAAGAUAAUAAGCUUGGUAAACUUAUAAACUGUGUUCUUCUGAAAGCAAUUUGUGAUUUUAUACUAAAAGCCCUACAAAUGUAUCUUAUCUUUUGACCCAGAAAAUGUGCCUCUAGGAAUAAUCAGAGAUCUUUGUGAAGACACCUCUCUAUAAAGAUAUUCAUAGCUAUUCUAUUUGUAAUAGUAAUAAAUAUUUCGAUAUUCAGAAAGCUUGUACCAAUAUGCCCACCGGACUGUUAAAAUAUUAAAAAUCAUUUGUUAUGAAUGAUAGAUAGAUGCUACUUGGAGUGCUUCUCCCAAAUGCCCCCACAUGCCUGCCUCCUGGAUUCUCCCAUGAAAUUAGGCCCUGCCAUUCAAACACCAAGGUUAAUGCCUGGAACAGUCUGGGGCCUCCAGAACCCAGCUCUGGCCUGACAGCCUGGUCAUCCUGAGUGGUGGGUCCAUGCCUUCCUGGCUGUUAAAUGCUUUCUAUGUAUUUUCAAUUUAAUUCCUAGAAAUAAUGUAAAAGUUCAACGAUAGGAAUUGAUUAAAAGAAUUAUGAUAAUGGAAGGCCAUGCAGCUAUUAAAAAUGGUGCUCUGCCAUGGAAUACUAUGCAGCCAUAAAAAAGGAUGAGCUCAUGUCCUUUGCAGGGACAUAGAUGAAGCUAGAAGCCAUCAUUCUCAGCAAACUAACACAGGAGCAGAAAACCAAACACCACAUGUUCUCACUCAUAAGUGGGAGUUGAAUGAUGAGAACACAUGGGCACAGGAAGGGGAACAUCACACACUGGGGCCCGUUGUGGGGUGGAGGGCCAGGGGAAGGAUAGCAUUAGGAGAAAUACCUAAUGUAGAUGACGGGUUGAUGGCUGCAGCAAACCACCAUGGCACGUGUAUGCCUAUGUAACAAACCUGCAUGUUCUGCACAUGUAUCC
rnacentral:lncRNA from 1 species